AGGCUUUGCAGGAGGCACAGACAUUGUGUGCACGUGAGAAGGAUGAAGGCAGCAGAGACUGGUGACACCAGGUGAGACAACGCAGACAAAGUGACACUGGCAUGUCACCAGAGAACACAGCUGCUCUGCACUGUGAUUUAUAGAGGUCAGUACCCUGAAGGCAUUCAGAAAGGAGAAGGGAAAGAUCAGCAGCUGGUCAAGAGGCAAUAUCCAUCCCUGGAAGGCUUCCAAACUGGUGAGAAUGUGUGGUGACUGCUUCCUUAGGUGUCAGAGACACCCAUCAAGGAUACUCCUCAAGGUUAAGAGAAAGAGACCUGCCCAGAAAUGUUGAUAUUGCAGGCUGGACCAAGAACACCUUCUCCCAGAGAGAUCUAACUGAUGAAGCAGAAAUGCAGCCUACUGGCCUAAACUCUAAAUGGACAGCAAUACAAAUUUCUGAAAAUAUAGUCCUACAAGUCCACUGUGAAUUGAUUAUUUAUAACAGAUUCAGAUUCCUGUUUCUCUCAUAUUAGUUCACUUCACAGAAUCACAAAAUCACAGAAUCACAGAACAUGCUGAGUGGGGAGGAAUGCACAAGGAUCACAGAGUCCAACAAUUGGUCCUGCACAGGACCAUCCCCAAGAGUCACAUCACGCACCUGAGAGCAUCAUCCAAACACUUCUUGAGCUCUGCAGGGAUUGGUGCUGUGACCACUUCCCCGGGGAGCCUGUUCCAGGGCCCAGCCACCCCCUCAGUAUGGAAUGUUUUCCUAAUAUCCAACAUCAUCCCUCUGUCUUGCCUGCCUUCCCUGUCCCUCUUGAGGAGCCUGUAACCAUCCAAUGGGGCACCCCACUCACAGGACUCAUCCCAUCAAAUUUUCCUUAUGCCACUGAUGUCAAAUCUCUGGGACCAGGCCAAAGCUUCAAACUCCUGUUGUUUGUUCCUCAUGUUGUGUGCAUUGGGUCAGAAGCAUUUCAAGUGUGUUUCAUUGUAGACAACACUUCAUGGAGCAGAUUGUGGCAUCCUAAUAGCAGUCAGAUCCUCAAGUUUUUGUAUGCUAUCUCAUUGCUCAUUGCUGGCAAGCCUGGCUUAUGCCUUCAAAAGCUCAGCCUCUGAGCCCUGCUAGCUCCUGUGCUAAAAAUGUGGAAGUACCAGUGUGUCCAGAACUUCUUUGGAGCCCCUUGAAUUAUAUUUCACCACAUGCUAUUAAAACAGCCCAUGUCAGCUGCUUGAAAUGUCACUCUCCUGUAUUACGGUACCAUCUAAAUUAUCAAGGCACACAGGGCCUAUAUGAGGGCACACAGCCAUCCAUCAAGGGCCCUGUGGGCCUCUGCUUCAAACGACAGUCCUGGUAUAAGUCCUGCUGAAGACACUAAAAGGACUCCCAUGAAAGAUCCCAGCUUGGGUGAACAAAAAUGUACUUUUAAUUCCUCCAUUUUUAUCUUCUAAGCAAUUCCUUAGACAUCUUAAGCAUUCAUCCCCUAAUCCAUAUUUAGAAGGCUUUAUGGAGUAAUCCAUCAUGUGAAACCUUGUUGAGAGCUUCCCUGAAAAUCCAUCUGUAA